rnacentral:lncRNA from 13 species
AGUUGGGAGGUAAGUAUUAUUAUUUUCUCUAUUUUUCAGAUGAGCAAACGGAGUCUUGGUUGGAUUAAGUAGCUUGCCCAAGUCCCAGGGCUAGUCCAUGGCAGAGUCAAGAUUUGGUUACAGGAAGAUGAGAUGAAGACACAGACACUCACAAAAGGAAAAUCAUGUGAAGAC